AUGAGGCAAAGAAUUUCUAGGAUGGAGAUUCCAGGAAUAGCUAUUUCUAGAAGAGGGAAGUAGUUCUAUAGAAAGAAACAUAUUUAGAGCAGAGUCAGACUGUUGUAUAUAAACCAUAUAAAUUUCACAGAACCUCCCCCCAAAAUAUUAUAAGUUUUUCUAUCACACUGGGUUAUGCUAUACCUUAACCAUUAAUUGUGGUUUUAUUUCUAUGGGAAUAUGUUCCAAGUUCAAAGUAAGAGACUUAUAAAACCAUUUUUGGAAUGCAACUUGUUCAUAAAUUGAGGACUUCCUGUACUUCUACAGUAUAUCUAUUACUCUAUUGGCUAGAAGUAUUAUAGAUUGAUGUGCAAAUCUCAGUUUAUAGCCAGUCUCAAGUGGAUAUUACAUCUAUCAGAGUCAUCCCUAGAAUAAAGUAAAUUGUGAAGAUUACCCUGAAACCUGUGCUUUUUAGAGGAGCCAAUGGGAGCACACAAGGGGUAAUAAGAAUUAUUGCAGAUCUAUCAGUGCUCCCAGACUGCCAGUUGGUAGUCUGUUACAUGACAGGAUGUCCCAGUACAGCUCAGGUGAAACCAGAUCUGGCCCAACCUUGCUCCUGCAACACAGAAUUCUACCUAGGUAAGGAACCAACAAUAAACUAGACUCUAUAUUUGAAAAAUUAAGUGGAUUCCUGAAUUUCAUUUAGU
rnacentral:lncRNA from 1 species